rnacentral:tRNA from 1 species
GGCAGCGAGGUCUAGUGGGCAGAACACAGGACUGAGAAGCAGGAGACCUGGGCUGUAAUCCCAGCGCUGCUG